ensembl:misc_RNA Metazoa_SRP Metazoan signal recognition particle RNA
GCCGGGCACGGUGGCAGGUGCCUGUAAUCCUAGCUACUUGGGAGGCUGAGGCAGGAGAAUUGCUUGAACCCAGGAGGCAGAGGUUGCAGUGAGCUGAGAUUGUGCCGCUGCACUCCAGCCUGGGUGACAAAGUGAGACUCUGUCUCAA